rnacentral:rRNA from 1 species
UACGGAGGGGGCUAGCGUUGUUCGGAAUUACUGGGCGUAAAGCGCACGUAGGCGGUGGUGCAUGUCAGAUGUGAAAGCCCUGGGCUUAACCUAGGAACUGCGUUUCUAACUGGCAGGCUUGAGUGUGGCAGAGGGGGGUGGAAUUCCACGUGUAGCAGUGAAAUGCGUAGAGAUGUGGAGGAACACCGAUGGCGAAGGCAGCCCCCUGGGCUAACACUGACGCUCAUGCACGAAAGCGUGGGGAGCAAACAGG